rnacentral:lncRNA from 1 species
GGGCGAUAAUUUUUGCUUUAAUUGUGUGUUAGAAGUUCAGUAGAAGCGGAAUACAGAGAUAAUUGUGAGUUAGUGGGUCAUAAUGGGGGAAGUUGAGAUAUUAUGGGGUUCAAUUUUUUUGUUUUUUUAUCUUAUUUUCUCUCUAAGUGUUUCACUUUUUUUUUCUCUUUUGACGUCUUUCUCUUCUUUCUUUCCUCUUUCCUUUUUGAUUCUGUCAAAAUUUGGUAUUCGUAUCAUUGUACCUUGAGUCCGCGGUUCCUUUGCCUGGUUUGGUAAGUGGUGUGUGUGGUUUCUGUUUCCU